rnacentral:rRNA from 1 species
AUACGUAGGGAGCGAGCGUUGUCCGGAUUUACUGGGUGUAAAGGGUGCGUAGGCGGCUCUGCAAGUCAGGCGUGAAAUACAUGGGCUUAACCCAUGGACUGCGUUUGAGACUGUGGAGCUUGAGUGAAGUAGAGGUAGGCGGAAUUCCCGGUGUAGCGGUGAAAUGCGUAGAGAUCGGGAGGAACACCAGUGGCGAAGGCGGCCUACUGGGCUUUAAAUGACGCCGAAGCACGAAAGCAUGGGUAGCAAACAGGAUUAGAUUCCCUGGUAGUCCAUGCCGUAAACGAUGAUUACUAGGUGUGGGGGGUCUGACCCCUUCCGUGCCGGAGUUAACACAAUAAGUAAUCCACCUGGGGAGUACGGCCGCAAGGUUGA